rnacentral:lncRNA from 1 species
AGAAUGCCAUCUCUAGGAUGCCAAUGGGCUGUGUCUACAGUACUAUGUAGGAAAGUGCUGCAAGAGAGAGCCCAUUUUGCCUAAACAAGAACCACGAUUAUGUAAACUUCUUUCUGUCACCUCUCUGAAGACCUGGUUCAUAUCUGCAGCUGCAACUCUAUCCCUGAACUCAUCUUUAAAACUACCCAGAGAUAGACUGUCAAGAACUUUAGAGCUUUACAACAGGAUCUUCCAAGUGCCCUGAGAGGUCAUGAUGGAGCCAAUAGAAAUAAAUCAUACAAAACAAAGCCAGAACCUGGUGGGAGGGAUGCUUACAAAACGACAUAAACAAGAAGUUGUCUGAAAAAAAAUUGUAUGGAAGGAAGAAGAGAUGAGAUAAUGGAAAUGAACUCAUAAUAGCCCCAGUUAAAAUACUUACAGUAAAAUAUCAUUAGUACUACUUGAUGUUGGUGAAAGGCUCUAGACUCAAGUUAGAAGGCCCAAGUCAUUGCUGUGAUUUCUUGAAUAAAUUAUGUAAUUUUGUUGAGAUUAAGUUUUCUUUUCUAUCAUUGGGUAUUAAUAACUUCUCUGUGAUGUCAGAGUU